rnacentral:rRNA from 1 species
UCGAGCGAACAGAUAAGGAGCUUGCUCCUUUGACGUUAGCGGCGGACGGGUGAGUAACACGUGGGUAACCUACCUAUAAGACUGGAAUAACUCCGGGAAACCGGGGCUAAUGCCGGAUAACAUUUAGAACCGCAUGGUUCUAAAGUGAAAGAUGGUUUUGCUAUCACUUAUAGAUGGACCCGCGCCGUAUUAGCUAGUUGGUAAGGUAACGGCUUACCAAGGCAACGAUACGUAGCCGACCUGAGAGGGUGAUCGGCCACACUGGAACUGAGACACGGUCCAGACUCCUACGGGAGGCAGCAGUAGGGAAUCUUCCGCAAUGGGCGAAAGCCUGACGGAGCAACGCCGCGUGAGUGAUGAAGGUCUUCGGAUCGUAAAACUCUGUUAUUAGGGAAGAACAAAUGUGUAAGUAACUAUGCACGUCUUGACGGUACCUAAUCAGAAAGCCACGGCUAACUACGUGCCAGCAGCCGCGGUAAUACGUAGGUGGCAAGCGUUAUCCGGAAUUAUUGGGCGUAAAGCGCGCGUAGGCGGUUUCUUAAGUCUGAUGUGAAAGCCCACGGCUCAACCGUGGAGGGUCAUUGGAAACUGGGAAACUUGAGUGCAGAAGAGGAAAGUGGAAUUCCAUGUGUAGCGGUGAAAUGCGCAGAGAUAUGGAGGAACACCAGUGGCGAAGGCGACUUUCUGGUCUGUAACUGACGCUGAUGUGCGAAAGCGUGGGGAUCAAACAGGAUUAGAUACCCUGGUAGUCCACGCCGUAAACGAUGAGUGCUAAGUGUUAGGGGGUUUCCGCCCCUUAGUGCUGCAGCUAACGCAUUAAGCACUCCGCCUGGGGAGUACGACCGCAAGGUUGAAACUCAAAGGAAUUGACGGGGACCCGCACAAGCGGUGGAGCAUGGUGUUUUAAUUCGAAGCAACGCGAAGAACCUUACAAUCUCGGGACAUCCUUUGACCACUCUAGAGAUAGAGCCUUCCCCUUCGGGGGACAAAGUGACAGGUGGUGCAUGGUUGUCGUCAGCUCGUGUCGUGAGAUGUUGGGGUUAAGUCCCGCAACGAGCGCAACCCUUAAACUUAGUUGCCAGCAUUCAGUUGGGCACUCUAAGUUGACUGCCGGUGACAAACCGGAGGAAGGUGGGGAUGACGUCAAAUCAUCAUGCCCCUUAUGAUUUGGGCUACACACGUGCUACAAUGGACAAUACAAAGGGCAGCUAAACCGCGAGGUCAUGCAAUCCCAUAAAGUUGUUCUCAGUUCGGAUUGUAGUCUGCAACUCGACUACAUGAAGCUGAAUCGCUAGUAAAUCGAAGAUCAGCAUGCUACGGUGAAUACGUUCCCGGGUCUGGUA